rnacentral:misc_RNA from 1 species
AACAUCGCGCACCUGCGGGAACCUGCGGAAGGAUCAUUACAGAGUUGCAAAACUCCCUAAACCAUUGUGAACGUUACCUAAACCGUUGCUUCGGCGGGCGGCCCGGGUCCUUCCCGGCGCCCAUCGGCCCUCGCGGGCGCCCGCCGGAGGUAAACCAAACUAUUGCAUUGUAUGGCCUCUCUGAGUCUUCUGUACUGAAUAAGUCAAAACUUUCAACAAUGGAUCUCAGAUCGGAUGAGC